rnacentral:rRNA from 1 species
UGGCUCAGAACGAACGCUGGCGGCAUGCCUUACACAUGCAAGUCGAACGGUAACGCGGGGCAACCUGGCGACGAGUGGCGAACGGGUGAGUAAUAUAUCGGAACGUGCCCAGUAGUGGGGGAUAGCCCGGCGAAAGCCGGAUUAAUACCGCAUACGACCUACGGGUGAAAGCGGGGGAUCGCAAGACCUCGCGCUAUUGGAGCGGCCGAUAUCAGAUUAGCUAGUUGGUGGGGUAAAGGCCUGCCAAGGCGACGAUCUGUAGCUGGUCUGAGAGGACGACCGGCCACUUUGUCCCUGAGACACGGACCAGACUCCUACGG